ACGUAGAUAAUCUACCCUCGAGUGGAGGAUAACGUUCCGAAAGGAACGCUAAUACUGCAUAACACCACGGCCCUUCGGGGUUUUGGCCAAAGCGGAGGAGCUCUUCGGAGCCUUCGCGUUUGAGGAUGAGUCUGCGGCCCAUCAGUUAGUUGGUAGUGUAAAGGACUACCAAGGCUAAGACGGGUAGCUGGUCUGAGAGGAUGGACAGCCACACUGGAACUGAGACACGGUCCAGACUCCUACGGGAGGCAGCAGUGGGGAAUCUUGCGCAAUGGGCGAAAGCCUGACGCAGCGAUGCCG
rnacentral:rRNA from 1 species